rnacentral:rRNA from 1 species
GGCCAGACUCCUACGGGAGGCAGCAGUGAGGAAUAUUGGUCAAUGGCCGUAAGGCUGAACCAGCCAAGUAGCGUGAGGGAAGACUGCCCUAUGGGUUGUAAACCUCUUUUAUGCGGGGAUAAAGGUGUCCACGUGUGGAUGUUUGCAGGUACCGCAUGAAUAAGGACCGGCUAAUUCCGUGCCAGCAGCCGCGGUAAUACGGAAGGUCCGGGCGUUAUCCGGAUUUAUUGGGUUUAAAGGGUGCGCAGGCGGAAUGUCAAGUCAGCGGUAAAAUUUCGGGGCUCAACCCCGUCGUGCCGUUGAAACUGGCGUUCUUGAGUGAGCGAGAAGUAUGCGGAAUGCGCGGUGUAGCGGUGAAAUGCAUAGAUAUCGCGCAGAACUCCGAUUGCGAAGGCAGCAUGCCGGCUCCACACUGACGCUGAGGCACGAAAGCGUGGGUAUCGAACAGGAUUAGAUACCCUCGUA